UGCCUCUGUCGUCAAGCCCUUCAGCUUCUAGUGCUCACUCUUUCAUGAACUAGCUGGAGUCAGCAGGAGAGAGAGCAAUGCCUUGUUCAUCCAUCCAGGUGGGGCUCCGAGAGCUUCCAAACCAAUGGAUAAGAAGGAGGAGCCACAGAGGCUAGAAAAGACUGCCGACCACAGUUUGUCCCAUGUAGAACUUUCUGGAACAUUCAGCUGCAGAAAGUGAAUGGGCUCAAAGCUUUCUGUCUCCUUCUGAACAGGCUGUCUAUAAAAACAAAGGAAGCCUGGCUGCCUGGGAGACAGUUCUUGAUGGUUUCAAGACAAGCUGCAGUGUCUCUCUUGGCUGCAGGAUGGGAUGGUUGCCAUGAGUGAGGAGCACAGUUCACCUAAGGCUGCCCUUGUCAGGAGCGGGGAAAGGUAGGAACAUGUGACCCAGUUGCAGCCAAUGAGAUGUCAGGAGAAGUUGGC
rnacentral:lncRNA from 10 species